ACAUCGAUGUCUAGGGGCUCUGAGAGGAUUGUCCCCCACACUGGUACUGAGACACGGACCAGACUCCUACGGGAGGCAGCAGUAAGGAAUAUUGGUCAAUGGACGAAAGUCUGAACCAGCCAUGCCGCGUGCAGGAUGACGGCCCUAUGGGUUGUAAACUGCUUUUAUACGGGAAGAAUCCCCUGUACGUGUACAGGGUUGACGGUACCGUACGAAUAAGGAUCGGCUAACUCCGUGCCAGCAGCCGCGGUAAUACGGAGGAUCCAAGCGUUAUCCGGAUUUAUUGGGUUUAAAGGGUGCGUAGGCGGAAUGAUAAGUUAGUGGUGAAAUCCCUCGGCUCAACCGGGGCACUGCCAUUAAAACUGUCAUUCUUGAGUAUAGUUGAAGUGGGCGGAAUGUAUCAUGUAGCGGUGAAAUGCUUAGAUAUGAUACAGAACACCGAUAGCGUAGGCAGCUUGCUAAACUAUAACUGACGCUCAGGCACGAAAGCGUGGGGAGCAAACGGGAUUAGAUACCCUGGUAGUCCACGCCGUAAACGAUGAUCACUCGCUGUUGGCGAUACACAGUCAGCGGCUUAGGGAAACCAUUAAGUGAUCCACCUGGGGAGUACGGUCGCAAGAUUGAAACUCAAAGGAAUUGACGGGGGCCCGCACAAGCGGAGGAGCAUGUGGUUUAAUUCGAUGAUACGCGAGAAACCUUACCUGGGCUUAAAUGUAAGACGACAGUCCCCGAAAGGGGACUUUCCUUCGGGACGUCCUACAAGGUGCUGCAUGGUUGUCGUCAGCUCGUGCCGUGAGGUGUCGGGUUAAGUCCCAUAACGAGCGCAACCCCUAUCCUUAGUUGCCAUCAGAUAAUGCUGGGGACUCUAAGGAAACUGCCUACGCAAGUAGUGAGGAAGGUGGGGAUGACGUCAAAUCAGCACGGCCCUUAUGUCCAGGGCUACACACGUGCUACAAUGGCCGGUACAGAGGGCAGCUACCUGGUGACAGGAUGCUAAUCUCGAAAACCGGUCUCAGUUCGGAUCGAAGUCUGCAACUCGACUUCGUGAAGUCGGAUUCGCUAGUAAUCGCACAUCAGCCAUGGCGCGGUGAAUACGUUCCCGGGCCUUGUACACACCGCCCGUCAAGCCAUGGAAGCUGGGGGUACCUAAAGUCCGUAACCGCAAGGAGCGGCCUAGGGUAAAACUAGUAACUGGGGCUAAGUCGUAACAAGGUA
rnacentral:rRNA from 1 species